rnacentral:rRNA from 1 species
UACGUAGGGUGCAAGCGUUGUCCGGAAUUAUUGGGCGUAAAGAGCUCGUAGGCGGUCUGUCGCGUCGGCUGUGAAAACCCGAGGCUCAACCUCGGGCCUGCAGUCGAUACGGGCAAACUAGAGUACUGCAGGGGAGACUGGAAUUCCUGGUGUAGCGGUGAAAUGCGUAGAUAUCAGGAGGAACACCCGAGGCGAAGGCGGCUCUCUGGGUCGUACCUGACGCUGAGGCGCGAAAGCGUGGGGAGCGAACGGG